CACCUGGUGGUUCCUAGAGUCAGCUCCAUUAUGCUGAACUGUGGGUUUUUUAACAGGUGCACAUUGAUUUCUGCAGUUUUAUGCAUGGAAGCUGCCUCUACUGCAGCGCUCCAUAGCCCGGCUGCAGAUACACUC